UACGUAGGGUGCAAGCGUUGUCCGGAAUUACUGGGCGUAAAGAGCUCGUAGGCGGUUUGUCGCGUCGUCUGUGAAAACUCGAGGCUCAACCUCGAGCUUGCAGGCGAUACGGGCAGACUUGAGUACUGCAGGGGAGACUGGAAUUCCUGGUGUAGCGGUGAAAUGCGCAGAUAUCAGGAGGAACACCGGUGGCGAAGGCGGGUCUCUGGGACGGUACUGACGCUGAGGCGCGAAAGCGUGGGGAGCAAACAGG
rnacentral:rRNA from 1 species